rnacentral:rRNA from 1 species
GACGUAGGGGGCAAGCGUUGUCCGGAAUCAUUGGGCGUAAAGAGCGCGUAGGCGGUCCGGUAAGUCCGCUCUGAAAGCCCGGGGCUCAACCCCGGGAGGCGGGCGGAUACUGUCGGGCUAGAGUCCGGAAGAGGCGAGUGGAAUUCCUGGUGUAGCGGUGGAAUGCGCAGAUAUCAGGAGGAACACCGAUGGCGAAGGCAGCUCGCUGGGACGGUACUGACGCUGAGGCGCGAAAGCGUGGGGAGCGAACAGG